AGAUGUGAGGGCAUCUGACUGCAACAUCUGUCACCCCACUGAUCGCCAGGGUUGAUCCAGCUGAUCUAGCCGGCUAGGCGGGUGUCCGCUUCCUCCCUCACCGCUCCAUGUGCGUCUCUCCUGAAGCUGCACUCGGUCGAAGGGGACGGCCCUCCCCGAAUAGAGACGGACUGGUCUUGGGUCGAGGGUGUAUGAGUAGCUGCGCUCCCCUGCUAGAGCCUCCAAACAAGCUCUCAAGAAAUGCUCCACUUCAUUUAUGAUUAGAGAAAUGCAAAUUAAAACUACACUGAGAUACCACCUCACACCUGAGAAGAUGUCUUCU
rnacentral:snRNA from 1 species